AUGAUGAAGGGGUAAUACAGAACAAUAGCAGAUGAGCAUGCAAUGAAAGAGCCCAUUCACCUGCAUACAUACAAGGGGGCUGCAUAGAGAUUGCACAGGCAGCUGGAAUUCUAAUAUUUUCCAGUUUUCCACAAUUGACUUUUGGACUGUGCAUCUAGCACACACAUUUCACAGUCUCAGAUACUGCUUUAUCUGCAAAUCACGAUAUUAGCCAAAUUAGGACAGGCGUUCACAGAAGACAGCAAAAAGCAAGUCCUUGGUACACAAGAUGAGCCUCCCACCAAUAUUUUGCCACAUUGGCAUGUCCUCCUCUCUGCCUCUAUUCCUAUAGGACACUGAAUUUUUUUGAGCUUCUGGGGGGCUGUGCACUAAAGACUCUGUUGUGGUAUGUUAAUUAAUUCUUUGUGGCUGUGGCAUGCAGGAGAAACUGCAGUAGCUGUUCCCCGGGAUCCCUUCAGACCAAAUGUCUCCUAGGUGGUUGUCUGCAACCUGCUUCCUUCUCAUCCUGUGUUCUGGUGGGACCCAUUACCUCUAUCUUACAGCUGGGGAAGUGAAGAAUAAAGAAAUUAAGGUCGCAUGCAUCCAUGCAUUUUGAAUUCCCAAUCUGAGGCACCCAAGACCUGAUUUUUUGGAGAACUAAGCAUUAUACAGCACUUUAUUUAUUCCAGCAUAAUUUAAAUUGCUUUCAGUUGUAGUUGAGAGAGCUCAGAACUCCUACAAAUCAGAUGGCAUGUUAUCAAAUCAAGAAUCCAGAAAAUAAGGAACACAGAGUUUGUGAUCACCUGUGAAAAGUUUGGCUCAAGUGAUUUGCUGAGCAUCUCCUGAGACCCCUGUAACUACCUUGUUUUUAACACAUUGCCUGAGCAAAGGAGAUAGCAGUAGUGUUUCGCACAAUGCACGAGUGGGGACUGGAGUGGAUGGGCAGCCCCAUGUUCUUGUCAAGAGUCCUAAUCUGCUUCCUGGUGUUAGAAAUCAUGGCCUAUCCCUGAAAUAGCAUCCCCCAAAACCACAUUAUUAAAGAGUUAACCACAUUUCACCUUGUCUUUUUCAGAUCAAAAGUUCCAGCCCACAAAAAUAUUUGGCCUUGGGGUUUUGCCUUUUUUCCACACAGCAAGCACAAUUCCCGCCCACCUUGGUAUUAAGCACAUAUUAAAGGCAACCAUUGAUUCUCUGGACUAUGGUGCCCGUACAAGAGGUCCAGUCAGGUGCUUCAUGAAUCCACCUGUGGCUGACACUCUGCAGCCCCAGAAACUGGCACAAGAAGCAGGGGGGAGUUUGUGCCCAUUUUAGCCUGAGCAACUGCUGCCAAGCAGCUCAGGGCUGGGUGAUCCACACUCAGGCUUUAUCCACCUCCGACAUUAGCAUCCACCACAUGCUGUUUCCUAUAGGAAGCCCCCAUCGCUUGCCCACCAUGUUUUGUUCUUAAAAGAUGUGGGAGGCUCCUGUAUGACCUGGACUUAUUGUGGGGUGCUUUAGACGGGCUUUUUGGGGGCUCCACAUCCCCUACAUCUCUUCCAAGCACCGACCUGUUGGUCUCACAUUGUGUGGUAGAUAGUCUGGGCUCCUCUGUGGUUCAAUGUACCAUCUCACCCUGGUUGAGCUGACAGUCCACUAGGGACUGGGCGAGGUUAUUUUGUGCUCACACCCUGCCUAGGAGACUUAAGCAAUCUGGAGGAGUGAUCUUACUCUCUGACACUGCCCUGUUGUCUGGACAGGCCUUCUGAGCUGACCUUACUAUGUGCCUGUGCCUCAGAGUCCCCGAGAGCUCCUGGCUUCUUGGCACUGGGCAAGGCGGCUACAAUACAUGGCGCUGACUUAAAGCCCCAAGAGAAAUUAACAACAUUUAAACAUAAAGCAGGGAGGGAAUGUGCUUCCUCCCACUCACACAUCCCCAUCAGGUGCUGGGCUGUCAGAUCCUCAGCCCUCCUCUCUUCCUUGUUCCAAGAGGUUGUCUCUCGGAGAGGCUGUGCUUCUCCCUGGGACGUCCCUGGAGUCUCCAGAACAUAGUAUGGCCAGACAUGACAGCUGGCAGCAGACAGAAAACAGCAGCGGCAGGACAGCUGUCUCUUUUUUCCACACCAGCUUUUGAAGGCCCUUCUCAGCGCCAGUGGAUGAUGUCAACCCCCUGUGCCGCUCCAGCCACACAGAGCGAGCUGAUAAAGCAUGCAGGCGGCGUUGCCCACUGUUCCAUGUUUUCUGCUACCAUGCCUGGGUGAGGCAAUGCAGCAUGGAUGCUACCAAUUGUAGAAAUAUGCAGCAACCUGACCCUACUUUGACCCUAGUACUAGAGAUUCUGUGCUCUUUAUCCAUGGCAAUGUACCAUGUUUUCCUCCCUUUAGGGCAAAAUUAUGAGCGAAUGCAACUCAGUUUUCUAUUUAAAUGGAGAAAUAUUCCAUAACACUUACCUGGGUUGGAUGCAUGCGUCUGAAGUCAUUACUAUCACAAACAAAAAACAGUCAUAGUGGGAUCCCAGUGAUAGAUCAACAUGCAGAGCUUGAGUUCAAAGCCCAGCUCUUCCUGGUGUCCCAGGUGCUUUGUGCCACUCUCCCAAAGUGGAACCACAGACUUUAGCUAGCCACCAGAAGAUGCAAUUCCUGAGUGCACAGAGCUCUUACACCACUUUCUAUAUCUGUAGCAAUGCCAGAGGCACAGAGCAGAACCUCUGUUGCACCAAUCCCCAAUGACCACUGAGUAUUUCCCUUCCUGAGCUGCUACCAGUGCUCCUUCACUGCAGCUAUGAAGCAGAGCCAUCCUCUUUUUUUUUUCUUUUAUAUUUGCUUCUUCAUGGUCUGCCAUCUCUUUCCUUGUUAUUAUGAAGGGGUAGGGGUGUUCUCAUUUCUUCUGGAAAGUUUCCAGUUGGUCAAGGAACACUUAACACAUUUUAGCCACAAUAGCUUGAAUUCAAGGUUGCACAGCAUUAGCCUAGUCUGUCUGCGCUCAGAGCAGCAGAGCUGUAUCCUAGGUUUCACCCUUGCAUCAAUUCAGAAAAUAUAAAGAUGUGAGAUUCAAUCAAUGAGGUUAAGGAGACGGGUGGUGGAAUAUAACAGCAGAUAAAUGUUUUCAACACAACUACCCUUUAAAAAGUGCUGAAAAAAAUCAAGGCUUUAUUUGAAUAAAUGUUACACAACAUUCUUUAACACUUACUUCUUGAGCAAACCUUAAAGGGGAAUCAUAUUUUUUUCCUCAUUCAAGUCUACAAAAUGAAGGAGGCAUAGUGACCAUUCAAUAUACAGACAAAAAGGUAGCAUGGAGCAAAGCUUAAAUAUUAAGCAACUAAAGCCAAAAAGUAAAAAGCAAUACAUUACUGUAAUUCUGUAUCAUUAAAAUAUCCCUGACAAUUUCAUUUCAAAAUGAAAAUCUGGUUUCAAACAAAAUGACUACAAUACUUCCCGUGAAAAUAAACUCAUUUUUCAUGAGCAAAUAUGGUUAGCUACCUAGUCUAUUUUUAUGCUAUUUGCUUAGUUUACCCAUAUUUUCAAAUGCAGAGACCUGCACCUCUCUCUCUCAAACAUUUUGUACAUUUUAAGUAGUGUGUGCCAGCGCUCUUGAAGAUGAGGGAAUAAGAACACUGGUUAAGAAUCAGAUAGGCAGGCACUACUGGCUUUCAUAAAUAACAUCAAUCAUUUUUCAAUCCCAACAUGCAAUAACCCUGCCAUUACAGUCCUGGGCCUUUUUCCUGAGCAGAAAUUGUGCCAUGUUGUCUUUUUAAAAAAAAGAAAAAGAAGAUAAAAGUGAUUCCUUUAAUAGGGAUGAGAUCCUCAUUCAUCUGUAAUACAAUCAUCUUUUGCUCUCCAGAGGUAAAAGGAUAGCACAGUAGCUCACUGUACCACCUUUCCCUCUCUCUCUCUCAAAGAGCAAGUUGCCUUAAUUUAUAAUAACUCUGAGUCAAAUUUCAGGCUGUGGUGCAGGUCUAGACUGCUGACCCUCUGUUUUGACUACAUCAGAAAGGCAGAAUACUGCAGAGCAAUAAUGACUAAUCUCAAUUUAAAAAUUAAUCUGCAGUUUAUUAUGAGAAGUGGCACAACUUGAAAAGUGGUACACAGCUUGAACAUGGAACUAACAUAGUUUUUUUGAAAAAUAUUAGAUGAUAUGGUUUCAGUUUGUUUUUAAUAAAUAAAUUUAGCAGUCACUGCUAAUAGAACUAGAAAAAGUUCUAAACCUCUAAUAUAAAACUGUUUUAGGUCAUAUGUACCACCAAUAUAGUAUUUAUGGAUCUGGAUUAUUAUGCCCCCAUUCCAUUAAAAAUAUGAAUUUGUUGUAUUGCCAAAUACUAAAGCCAAGAGAAAUUAUAUACAAUUAUGGGUACUGUGUUUAACUAAUGUAUUUAAUUCAUGCCCUUUUCAUGGAGGUUGUAAAAUCCUCUUUGUGCUAGAUGACAUACCUAUCAAGAAAGGUGCUCUCUCUUCAAAUCCCCUGGACAAAGAUAUUUUACAUUCCCCAGUGAGAUCAAAACACAAAGUAGGAAGAGAGGUUAGUACAAGACUUUGCUUUUCCAUGGAAACAGGAACUUGUACUUUAUUAGGUCUUAAUAUUAUGUGUGCAUUUUCUCUUCUCCAAAACAAAUAUGUACUUUCCAACUUUGGUAUCCCGUGAACCCCUCACUAACAUUAAGAAGAAUUUUAAGCGCUAUUCUGUCAAGAAAAUGUGCACACAAAUCAGUAGCAAAUAAAUUAUCUGGCAAGCCAAUAUUUCAGCAUUGUUCUCAGCACUCAGUAGCUUCAGCUGACAUAAUUGUUACCAAACAACUUUUGCAAAAAGGAUAAAGGAUUACGUGUUCUCAUUUCAACAUGAGGAUAUUCAAAGUAGUCAAUGCUAUGCAGAUCAACUACCACAAGAAAUCCUAAUGGAAACCCUUGGUAUACCAGCUACCUGUAUGAGAAAAAUUUUGUGCAGGAAGAUGAAAUAAACUCAUUACUUGGCAAAUGACUGGCCUCUCAUCUAAGCAGUAUCCAUUCUUGGCUCUGUAUUGUUACACUAUCAUAAGCAAAUCUAACUGACUAUAUACUAUCAGUGAUGUAGCCCUUUCAUGAUAUAUUUCCAACAAUUGUCAAUUCCCAAAAUGUUAUAUUAGCAUAAAGAAACUACAACCAUAUUCACAGGGAAGCAAUUUUCCCAUAAUUUAGAGAUACAUGGAAGUUGCUGUUGUCAUCCUGCCCACCAUCUCUAUAGGAAACACUGGUCUCAUAGCAGGACUGUUCAUAUUUUACAAUACAGCUGGUUUUGGACAUGCUUUUAAUCACAGGCCACAGCUCUGCUAACACCUGCACUAAUACUAACUAAGCCUUGUAGAAUGGAAAAUGCAACGCGAAAGUU